AACGCACCUUGCGCUCUCUGGUAUUCCGGAGAGCAUGUCUGUUUGAGUGUCAUGGACUCUUCAACCCACCGGUUCCUUGUUGAACUGGCUGGUGUUUGGAUUUUGAGCCUUUUGCUGUUUGUUCAGCAGGUUCGUAAUACAUUAGCAUCUAGAGUCUGAAUUUCGGAUUGACUCGGCGUAAUAGACUAUUCGCUGAGGACACUUUUACUAGUGGCCGAACUUUGACAAUUGGAAGCUUCCAAUCUUACAAGUCAAACCUUUUUAAGAUUUAGACCUCAAAUCAGGCAGGAUUACCCGCUGAACUUAA
rnacentral:misc_RNA from 1 species